rnacentral:rRNA from 1 species
AUUGAACGCUGGCGGCAGGCCUAACACAUGCAAGUCGAGCGGAUGAAGGGAGCUUGCUCCUGGAUUCAGCGGCGGACGGGUGAGUAAUGCCUAGGAAUCUGCCUGGUAGUGGGGGAUAACGUCCGGAAACGGGCGCUAAUACCGCAUACGUCCUGAUGGUGAAAGUGGGGGAUCUUCGGACCUCACGCUAUCUGAUGAGCCUAGUUCGGAUUAGCUAGUUGGUGGGGUAAAGGCCUACCAAGGCGACGAUCCGUAACUGGUCUGGGAGGAUGAUCAGUCACACUGGAACUGAGACACGGUCCAGACUCCUACGGGAGGCAGCAGUGGGGAAUAUUGGACAAUGGGCGAAAGCCUGAUCCAGCCAUGCCGCGUGUGUGAAGAAGGUCUUCGGAUUGUAAAGCACUUUAAGUUGGGAGGAAGGGCAGUAAGUUAAUACCUUGCUGUUUUGACGUUACCAACAGAAUAAGCACCGGCUAACUUCGUG